rnacentral:rRNA from 1 species
UGAGGAAUAUUGGUAAUCUGGGAAACCGGGAACCAGCAACGCCGCGUGCGCGAUGAAGGCCUUCGGGUUGUAAAGCGCUUUUUGAGAGGAUGAGGAAGGACAGUACUCUUAGAAUAAGCCUCGGCUAACUACGUGCCAGCAGCCGCGGUAAAACGUAGGAGGCGAGCGUUAUCCGGAUUUACUGGGCGUAAAGCGUGUGUAGGCGGUUUGAUAAGUUGGAUGUGAAAGCUCCUGGCUUAACUGGGAGAGGUCGUUCAAAACUAUCAGACUUGAGAGUGGGAGAGGGAGGUGGAAGUGAGGAUGUAGUGGUGAAAUGCGUAGAUAUGCGGAGGAACACCAGUGGCGAAAGCGGCCUCCUGGCCCAUUUCUGACGCUCAGACACGAAAGCUAAGGUAGCAAACG